rnacentral:rRNA from 1 species
GACGAACGCUGGCGGCGUGCCUAAUACAUGCAAGUAGAACGCAGUUGCGAACGGGUGAGUAACGCGUAGGUAACUGCCUCAUAGCGGGGGAUAACAAUUGGAAACGAUAGCUAAUACCGCAUACUGUGAGAUGGACCUGCGUUGUAUUAGCUGGUUGGUGAGGUAAAGGCUCACCAAGGCGAGGCUACAUAGCCGACCUGAGAGGGUGAUCGGCCCCACUGGGACUGUGAGACGGCCCCGAGCCCCCCGGGAGGCCGCGGUAGGGAGACUUUGGCAAUGGACGGAAGUCUGUCCUAGCAACGCCGCGUGAGUGAGGAAGGGUUUCGGAGCGUAAAGCUCUGUUGUUAGAGAAGAGGUAACUAACCAAAAAGGGACGGCUAACUACGGGCCAGCAGCCGCGGUAAUAC